rnacentral:rRNA from 1 species
UUGGGUAGGGGAGCGUUCUGUAAGCGGAUGAAGGUGAAUCGAGAGGUUUGCUGGACGUAUCAGAAGUGCGAAUGCUGACAUAAGUAACGAUAAAACGAGUGAAAAACUCGUUCGCCGGAAGAUCAAGGUUUCCUGUCCAACGUUAAUCGGGGCAGGGUGAGUCGACCCCUAAGGCAAGGCUGAAAAGCGUAGUCGAUGGGAAACGGGUUAAUAUUCCCGUACUUGUAAUAACUGCGAUGUGGGGACGGAGAAGGUUAGGUUAUCAGGGUAUUGGAUAUCCCUGUUUAAGCCGGUAGGUGGGAAUUCUAGGCAAAUCCGGAAUUCUGAAUAACACCGAGAAGUGAUGACGAGGCUCUAAGGAGCUGAAGUAACUGAUACCACGCUUCCAGGAAAAGCCACUAAGCAUAGGUUAUUAUAAAUCGUACUGUAAACCGACACAGGUGAUCAGGUAGAGAAUACUCAGGCGCUUGAGAGAACUCGGGUGAAGGAACUAGGCAAAAUAGCACCGUAACUUCGGGAGAAGGUGCGCCGGCGUAGAUUGUAGCCCUUUACGGGUGAAGGUUGAACCGGUCGAAGAUACCAGCUGGCUGCAACUGUUUAUUAAAAACACAGCACUCUGCAAACACGAAAGUGGACGUAUAGGGUGUGAUGCCUGCCCGGUGCUGGAAGGUUAAUUGAUGAUGUAAUCGAAAGAGAAGCUUCUGAUAGAAGCCCCAGUAAACGGCGGCCGUAACUAUAACGGUCCUAAGGUAGCGAAAUUCCUUGUCGGGUAAGUUCCGACCUGCACGAAUGGCAUAAUGAUGGCCAGGCUGUCUCCACCCGAGACUCAGUGAAAUUGAAAUCGCCGUGAAGAUGCGGUGUACCCGCGGCUAGACGGAAAGACCCCGUGAACCUUUACUAUAGCUUGACACUGAACCUUGAAUUUUAAUGUGUAGGAUAGGUGGGAGACUUAGAAGCAGUAACGCCAGUUAUUGUGGAGUCAACCUUGAAAUACCACCCUUUAACGUUUGAUGUUCUAACGAAGC